UACGUAGGGACCGAGCGUUGUCCGGAAUCAUUGGGCGUAAAGAGCGUGUAGGCGGCCACUUAAGUCCUGCGUGAAAUCUUGCGGCUCAACCGCAAGCGGUCGUGGGAAACUGGGUGGCUAGAGUGCGGGAGAGGAGAGUGGAAUUCCUGGUGUAGCGGUGAAAUGCGCAGAUAUCAGGAAGAACACCCGUGGCUAAGGCGGCUCUCUAGUACGGUACUGACGCUGAGACGCGAAAGCGUGGGGAGCGAACAGG
rnacentral:rRNA from 1 species